rnacentral:rRNA from 1 species
CUAGGAAUCUUGGGAAUGGGCGAAAGCCUGACCCAGCAACGCCGCGUGGGCGAUGAAGGCCUUCGGGUCGUAAAGCCCUUUUGAGGGGGAAGAUGAUGACGGUACCCCUCGAAUAAGCCACGGCUAACUACGUGCCAGCAGCCGCGGUAAUACGUAGGUGGCAAGCGUUGUCCGGAUUUACUGGGCGUAAAGGGCGUGCAGGCGGUUUGUUAAGUCUAGGGUGAAAGCUCCCGGCUCAACUGGGAGAGGUCCUUGGAUACUGGCAGACUUGAGGAGAGUAGAGGAGAGUGGAAUUCCCGGUGUAGUGGUGAUAUGCGUAGAUAUCGGGAGGAACACCAGUGGCGAAGGCGGCGCUCUGGAACAUUUCUGACGCUGAGGCUCGAAAGCGUGGGGAGCAAACAGGAUUAGAUACCCACGUAGUCCCUGAGCGGGCUGGCAAGGCGCAU